AUGGCGGCGGCGAGCAGUAUGGGGGAUGGUUCUGGCCUGCCUCGCCUGCCCGACAACGGACUCGAGUUUCUGCCGGAUCCAGUUGACAGGGAGGUGGCCGCGGACGUGGAGCAGCCAGAUCCGUCGGUGAUGAGGGGCGUCGUGCCGUCGGACACGACCGAAGCCCACUCCUCAUGCGCGGUUGUGGUUGGACACCUCGACGGCGCUGCUGAGCGCCGGAAUUCCGGUGGAGUCGACAACCCAGUCCGUGGAAUCGACCGGGAAGGUGAACCCCAGAGGCGUCGAUGUGGACCAGAAGGUUUAGAGUUGGCCGUGCACAUCUGGAUAGAGCAGUUUUCCCUGGUAGAGUCACUCCGCUGGAAGAAACGAUCAGAGCAGAAGUGGGCAAAGCCGUUCGUGCGGCAGAUGACAGUACAUGAGGCUGAAUUUGACCGAGAAUCAGACGAGAGCUGCCAAGAGAAGAGGACAAGGAUUGUAAGCGACUUUUCUAUACAUGCUUCAUGUCGUAGUACACAUAUAUGUGGCCUGAGAUGCCUGGUAUACAAGGUGACCAUGUCAGAUGAUGGCAAGUGGUUUGAAUGUGAGUGCGGUCAAUUUGCCCACAUGAGGAUGCUGUGCUGCCAUGCAUUGAAGGUGAUGGAUUAUGUCGGCGAAGGAAAUAAUCAUGGAGGCAUCAUCGCUGGCUGA
rnacentral:rRNA from 1 species